rnacentral:rRNA from 1 species
UACGUAGGGGGCAAGCGUUGUCCGGAAUCAUUGGGCGUAAAGAGCGUGUAGGCGGCCCGGUAAGUCUGUUGUGAAAGUCCGGGGCUCAACCCUGGAAAGCCGAUGGAUACUGCCGGGCUAGAGUUCGGAAGAGGCGAGUGGAAUUCCUGGUGUAGCGGUGGAAUGCGCAGAUAUCAGGAGGAACACCUAUAGCGAAGGCAGCUCGCUGGGACGACACUGACGCUGAGACGCGAAAGCGUGGGGAGCGAACAGG